GGUAAUUAUCUAGGGCAGAGAAUGUCGCAUAACCGGGGCAGUGGAUGUAGAAAUGCAGUCUCAGGGAGAUGGAUGAGAGGGUAAGGCGGGGUGAACAGAACUUAGCAUGCCAUCGAAUGUGGAGGACCAAAAGGAAUCAGUAACAAAGGGAUGCUGAGAUGCCAGGGAAACAGGGAUGAGCCGAGGAUCCUGAAACUCACGGCCACAGUUCUAUAGUUGAGUAGCUGUUGGGGGUCUCUUCUCCCCUUAGUCAUGAUGAGCACUAAGGCUAAGAAAUCGCUGGCUAUUACCAGGGCAUGGCUGCAAGGAGAAGACGCCACAGACCUGUCGGAAGCACACCGUUGUGUUGGAAGGAGGAGCUCUGGAGGAGGAGACGUUGAGAGGCAUUAGAGCAUGCUUCUUCAGUAUUCUGGUAUAUACUGAAGACCAGCUGAGACAUCCAGCCUUGUGGACUGAACAGCUACUGGAUUGUUGGGCUUUGUGUUGGUGGACAGCCAUUGUUGGACUAGCUGGACCACAGCCUGGGGAGAGUCCAUUCACAACAUCUUCUUUGCCUCAACCAACAGACUUUUCUUGUCAUAAGUCAGGGCUCAGGCUUCCGUGAAUUCCGUCAAACGUCACUGACUGAACUCGAUGGUUGUGGUGAAAUGUGCAGUGAUUGCUGCUGUUCUCCUCGGGUUUGUGGGGUGGGUCCCUUCUAUGUGACCUUGGCAAGACACUUGGUCCUUCUGUGCUUUCAUUUUCUGCUUGUCCAAAUAAGACAAUAGUGCCCGUGUUGUAGGGUAGUUGUGAAAAAUUAAAUCUUUUCCUUAUGUGCUUGUGCUGGCUAGUUUUACAUCAACUCCACACAAGCUAGAGUCAUCUGAGAAGAGGAAAUCUCAAUUAAGAAGAUACCCCCAAAAGAUAGGGCUGUAGGCAAGCCUGUAGGGUAUUUUCUUAAACAGUGGUUGGUGUGGAAGGGCCCAGCCCAUUGUGGGUGAUCUGGUGGUCCUGGGUGGGGGUUGCUAUAAGAAACCCAGUAAGCACCAUUUCUCCAUGGCCUCCACAUCAGCUCCUGCCACCAGGUCCCUGCUGAGUUUCUGCCAUGAUUUCCUUCAAUAAUGAACAAUG